GACGAACGCUGGCGGCGUGCUUAAUACAUGCAAGUCGAACGGAAAGGCCCUGCUUUUGUUGGGUGCUCGAGUGGCGAACGGGUGAGUAACACGUGAGUAACCUGCCCUUGACUUUGGGAUAACUUCAGUAAACUGGGGCUAUUACCGGGUAUGAGCUCCUGCUGCAUGGUGGGGGUUGGAAAGUUUCGGAGGUUGGGGACGGACUCGCGGCCUUUCAGCUUGUUGGUGAGGUAGUGGCUUACCAAGGCUUUGACGGGUAGCCGGCCUGCGAGGGUGACCGGCCACAUAGGGACUGAGAUACGGCCCGGACUGCUACGGGAGGCAGCAGUGGGGAAUAGUGCACAAUGGGCGGAAGGCUGAUGCAGCAACGCCGCGUGCGGGAUGACGGCCUUCGGGUUGUAAACCGCUUGCGCCUGUGACGAAGCGUGAGUGACGGUAAUGGGUAAAGAAGCACCGGCUAACUACGUG
rnacentral:rRNA from 1 species